AUUAAGUUUAAUUUAAUAUAGGAUCUGCUCAAUGAUUUAUUAAAUAGCUGCAGUAUUUUGACUGUGCAAAGGUAGCAUAAUAAUUAGUCUUUUAAUUGGGGACUUGUAUGAAAGAUUUGAUGAGAAAUAAACUUUAUUAUUUAUAUAGUUAAAAUUUUAUUUUUAAGUAAAAAAGCUUAAAUUUUUUAAAGGGACGAUAAGACCCUAUAAAACUUUAUAAAUAUUAAUUUUAAUUUUUUUGGAUUUAUAAGUAUUUUAUUGUUAUUAUUUAUUUUAUUGGGGUGAUAAAAAAAAUUAAUUAACUUUUUUUAAAAUUUUACAUUAUUUAAUGAAUUUUUGAAUUAAAAUUUUUAAUUAAAGGAAAAAGUUACUUUAGGGAUAACAGCGUAAUUAAUUUUUUAAGUUCAAAUUUGAAAAUUAGUUUGCGACCUCGAUGUUGAAUUAAGAUUAAUCUUAGGUGCAAAAUUUUAAGUAUUAGGUCUGUUCGACCUUUAAAUUCUUACGUGA
rnacentral:rRNA from 1 species